GACUCCUACGGGAGGCAGACAGUGGGGAAUAUUGCGCAAUGGGGGGAACCCUGACGCAGCCAUGCCGCGUGAAUGAAGAAGGCCUUCGGGUUGUAAAGUUCUUUCGGUGGUGAGGAAGGCGGUAGUGUUAAUAGCGGUAUUGUUUGACGUUAGCCACAGAAGAAGCACCGG
rnacentral:rRNA from 1 species